GGACGAGCCUCUGGAGAGACUCCGCAAGGAGCACCGAAGGAGCAAGCUGCUUUCCCAGUGCAGUGAAACUCUCAGGUAAAAGGACAGAGUGGACCCA
rnacentral:ncRNA from 2 species